UCCGAAGCCAGGAUGUGCCCGAAGUCGCCUGUUUGCACGGGCUUCCCGCGCUCACACUCAGAAUGUGCUUUCCUAUCCGUACUCUCACUGACCCUAAAGGCUGUGGCCACUCCCGGCACCGAUGAAUCCCAGGUCCUGACCCUUGGAAACUGUCCAGCCCUGCCACCUGUCACAAAGACAGGACAGUGUUUGCAGAUUUCAAAAAUACAAGAAAAAUGGCUAUACAUGUGUGAGGUGCACUCAAACCAAUUGCUUAAUUGGAGUGGAUGUUCCCCGGGUAGAUGAGGAAGAUUUUGCAAAUCUGUGUGGUCUGAAUGGACAAGUUCCUUGCAGAUUACGUUGGGUUUAUCUUGGCUUUUCCCAGAGGCGAUUUGGCUCUGAUAAGGAGACCUCUAGCAGAGUCUUUUUGGCUUCUGAGGGGUGAAGAACUGUUAACCUGAUCCCUGAAGAGAAAGGGAUCUUAUAUGGUUCUAUUAUUUCCUUAAGAUCUCGGAAUAGUGCUUUCAUUUGCCCAAUAACGUUUAUUUAUUAAUUAAACAUCUGUUAAACACUGGAGAGAAAAAAAAAAAAAAAAAAAAAAAAAAAACACUGGAGAGCUGCCAGGCAGUGUAGUAGGUGGUCACAUGUUAGAAUAAAUAAGCGAUGGGCUCAUUGUGGAUGACUUUUAUCAUUCUUCAGAGAAUUGAAAAUAUGAUUCAAAGUUGUUCAAAUGAAAUGUA
rnacentral:lncRNA from 1 species